rnacentral:rRNA from 1 species
UACGAAGGGGGCUAGCGUUGCUCGGAAUUACUGGGCGUAAAGGGAGCGUAGGCGGAUAGUUCAGUCAGAGGUGAAAGCCCAGGGCUCAACCUUGGAAUUGCCUUUGAUACUGGCUGUCUUGAGUAUGGGAGAGGUUAGCGGAACUCCGAGUGUAGAGGUGAAAUUCGUAGAUAUUCGGAAGAACACCAGUGGCGAAGGCGGCUAACUGGCCCAUUACUGACGCUGAGGCUCGGAAAGCGUGGGAGCAAACAGGGA